rnacentral:rRNA from 1 species
GAUGAACGCUAGCGGCAGGCUUAACACAUGCAAGUCGAGGGGUAACGUGAGUGCUUGCACUUGACGACGACCGGCGAACGGGUGCGUAACGCGUAUAGAAUCUGCCUUGUACAGGAGGAUAGCCCAGAGAAAUUUGGAUUAACACUCCAUAAUGUUAUAUAGUGGCAUCAUUAUAUAAUUAAAGAUUUAUUGGUACAAGAUGACUAUGCGUCCUAUUAGUUAGAUGGUAAGGUAACGGCUUACCAUGGCAUCGAUAGGUAGGGGGUCUGAGAGGAUUAUCCCCCACACUGGUACUGAGACACGGACCAGACUCCUACGGGAGGCAGCAGUGAGGAAUAUUGGACAAUGGGCGAGAGCCUGAUCCAGCCAUGCCGCGUGCAGGAAGACUGCCCUAUGGGUUGUAAACUGCUUUUAUACAGGAAGAAACCUACUUACGUGUAAGUAGCUGACGGUACUGUAAGAAUAAGCACCGGCUAACUCCGUGCCAGCAGCCGCGGUAAUACGGAGGGUGCAAGCGUUAUCCGGAAUCAUUGGGUUUAAAGGGUCCGCAGGCGGUCAAUUAAGUCAGAGGUGAAAUCUCACAGCUUAACUGUGAAACUGCCUUUGAUACUGGUUGACUUGAGUCAUAUGGAAGUAGAUAGAAUAAGUAGUGUAGCGGUGAAAUGCAUAGAUAUUACUUAGAAUACCGAUUGCGAAGGCAGUCUACUACGUAUGUACUGACGCUCAUGGACGAAAGCGUGGGGAGCGAACAGG